rnacentral:rRNA from 1 species
CCUACGGGACGCAGCAGUGGGGAAUAUUGCACAAUGGGCGAAAGCCUGAUGCAGCAACGCCGCGUGAGCGAAGAAGGUCUUCGGAUUGUAAAGCUCUGUCCUAGGGGAAGAAGAAAAUGACGGUACCCUUGGAGGAAGCCCCGGCUAACUACGUGCCAGCAGCCGCGGUAAUACGUAGGGGGCAAGCGUUAUCCGGAAUUAUUGGGCGUAAAGAGUGCGUAGGUGGUUACCUAAGCAGGGGGUGAAAGGCAAUGGCUCAACCAUUGUUAGCCCUCUGAACUGGGUUACUUGAGUGCAGGAGAGGA